rnacentral:sRNA from 1 species
CUGCAGACGGCGUAAAAUUCGAUGUAAUAGGCAAACUCCCUGUGGAAACUGUGUGCGUUCCAAGAGCGGUCACUGUGUUUAUGGCGAUGAGCCACUCGGAACUCCAUUACGCAAUCUUGCACCGGCUCAAGGAUCACGGAAGCAAGUCCGUGUAUUGCCUGCUUCCGAGUCUCCUAGUGUUGGAAGUGACUCGACGACAGUAAGUCGAGUGGUAGGGUCGAUAGUGGCAAGCUCAGCAACCCCCUUGACUGCUGCUUCUCAGCCAUCCCAUGAAGUAGAGUACUUGAAGAACAGGGUUAGAUUACUUGAAGAGCAUUUAUCCCAAGCAGCUGCGAAGGCUGCGGCAUCUCCGAAUUCCACCUCAACGCCAGCUUUAAACAUAGAAACAACAUCGUCAUCCCUCGCAGGAACAUUCUCUGUUCGUCGCGAAAGCCAUGCACCGGGAGGAACACCAACUAUCAAUCGCGGUAUCUUUCAUAAAAGUCGCCUAUUUGGACAGAGCCAUUGGGCUAAUGGGAUGGAAUAGCUCCUUCGAGGCCUUCUCGAGAUAAUCGAACCACAUAUACAGAAUAGAUCCAGACUCGCUUCCGGCCUACAGAGGUGUAAACUCCUAGCAAAGAUCAUAAAAGCGCAGUUGGCACCUCCGUGGCCAGUACCACCAACAUCCGAUUUACCACCAAAAGCCCUCGCCGACAAGCUCCUGGACUGUUAUCUGCGAACCACAGAGACGAUAUAUCGAAUCCUCCACAUCCCCACGUUCAAAAAGGAUUAUGACGAGGUAUGGUUAACCGACAAAACUCCGGACACAGCGUUCCUCGUCCAACUUAAGCUGGUACUCGCCAUCGGGGCUACCACAUAUGACGAAAAAUUCUCCCUGCGCGCUUCAGCCAUUAGAUGGGUCCAUGAGGCCCAAACGUGGCUUGCAGAACCAGAAUUUAAAGCAAGGCUAAGCCUCCAAGUACUGCAGACUAAUCUCCUGCUGCUUGUUGCUCGGCAAACGGCAAGCGUCGGUGCAAGUAUGAUCUGGAUUUCAGCAGGCUCUCUCAUUCGAAACGCAAUGUAUAU